rnacentral:rRNA from 1 species
GUCGUGCGAGAAAGUACCCUUCGGGGUGCGAGUACAGCGGCAAACGGGUGAGUAACACGUAAGGAAUCUGCCUCCAAAUCCGGAAUAGCUCUGCCAACGCGGAAUUAAUGCCGGAUGUGGUUGCAUGGUCGCAUGGCUAUGCAACCAAAGGUGACCUCUUCGUUUGAAAGUUACCGUUUGGAGAUGACCUUGCGGCCCAUUAGCUUGUUGGCGGGGUAACGGCCCACCAAUGCUGCGAUGGGUAGCCGGCCUGAGAGGGUGAUCGGCCACAUUGGGACUGAGAUACGGCCCAGACUCCUACGGGAGGCAGCAGUAGGGAAUUUUGCGCAAUGGACGAAAGUCUGACGCAGCAACGCCGCGUGAGCGAUGAAGGUCUUCGGAUCGUAAAGCUCUGUUGAGUGGGAAGAAACGUCUCGGGGUUAAUAUCUCCGAGGCCUGACGGUACCACUCGAGGAAGCUCCGGCCAACUACGUGCCAGCAGCCGCGGUAAUACGUAGGGAGCGAGCGUUGUUCGGAAUCACUGGGCGUAAAGGGAGUGCAGGCGGAAAGGUAAGUCAGAAGUGUAAUCUACGGGCUUAACCCGUAUCUCGCUUUUGAUACUGCUUUUCUUGAGUAGUGGAGAGGGAAACGGAAUUCCAGGUGUAGCGGUGGAAUGCGUAGAUAUCUGGAAGAACACCAGUAGCGAAGGCGGUUUCCUGGCCACAUACUGACGCUGAGGCUCGAAAGCGUGGGGAGCAAACAGGAUUAGAUACCCUGGUAGUCCACGCCGUAAACGAUGGGCACUAGAUAUCGGGGAAUUCGAUUUCUUCGGUGUCGCAGUUAACGCGAUAAGUGCCCCGCCUGGGGAGUACGCCCGCAAGGGUGAAACUCAAAGGAAUUGACGGGGGCCCGCACAAGCGGUGGAGCAUGCGCUUUAAUUCGAUGCAACGCGAAGAACCUUACCUGGGUUUGACAUGGGAGUGAAAGUUCCUAGAGAUAGGAACCUUUCCUUCGGGAACACUCCACACAGGUGCUGCAUGGUGGUCGUCAGCUCGUGUCGUGAGAUGUUGGGUUAAGUCCCGCAACGAGCGCAACCCUCGCCCUUAGUUGCCAUCAGGUAAUGCUGGGAACUCUAGGGGGACCGCCUGGAACAACCAGGAGGAAGGUG